GAAAGCCGUAUGCUUGAAGAAGCUUGUACAGUUUGGGAAGGGGUUUUUUGAGAGAAAAGAAGAAUCUACUUCAAC
rnacentral:ncRNA from 1 species